rnacentral:rRNA from 1 species
GAUGAACGCUGGCGGCGUGCCUAAUACAUGCAAGUCGAGCGAACGGACGAGAAGCUUGCUUCUCUGAUGUUAGCGGCGGACGGGUGAGUAACACGUGGAUAACCUACCUAUAAGACUGGGAUAACUUCGGGAAACCGUAGCUAAUACCGGAUAAUAUUUUGAACCGCAUGGUUCAAAAGUGAAAGACGGUCUUGCUGUCACUUAUAGAUGGAUCCGCGCUGCAUUAGCUAGUUGGUAAGGUAACGGCUUUCCAAGGCAACGAUGCAUAGCCGACCUGAGAGGGUGAUCGGCCACACUGGAACUGAGACACGGUCCAGACUCCUACGGGAGGCAGCAGUAGGGAAUCUUCCGCAAUGGGCGAAAGCCUGACGGAGCAACGCCGCGUGAGUGAUGAAGGUCUUCGGAUCGUAAAACUCUGUUAUUAGGGAAGAACAUAUGUGUAAGUAACUGUGCACAUCUUGACGGUACCUAAUCAGAAAGCCACGGCUAACUACGUG